rnacentral:lncRNA from 1 species
GGGUGUGGCACCUUUGGGUGGAGCCAAUUGGGGUGUGGCACCUUUGGGUGGAGCCAAGCAGGGUGUGGCAGGGAUGGGAGGAGCCAGCAGGAAGGGACAGUGGGGUCUCCUUUGGGGCAGGGUUGGCUUGAUGUCCCCAUCACCCUCAUCACUCUCCUUCAUCCCCAUAAUCCUCAUCAUCCUCACAGUCCCCUUCAUCCCAUUAUCCCCGUCCUCCCAUCAUUCUUUCAUUGCCUUCAUCCCUGCCAUCAUCUGCUUCAUCCCUCAUCGUCCCCUUUAUCCUCAUCCUCCCCAUCUCCCCCUUCACUCCCAUCCUCUCCAUCAUCUCCAUAACCUCUACCACGCCCUUCAUCCCCAUCACCCUCAUCAUCCUCAUCAUCCUUGUCACCCAUCACAGCCCUAUCACCCCAUCACAACCUUCAUCCCCGCCAUCAGCUUCAUCCUCACCUUCAACACCACCUUCCCCAUCACCACCCUCAUCUCCGUCAUCCCCAUCUUCCCCUUCAUCCUCAUCACCGCCAUCAUCUUCACCACCGCCAUCAUCCUCAUCAUUCCCAUCACCCCAACAUCUUCAUUAUCUCCUUCAUCUUCAUCACCCCAUCGCUUCUGUCAUCCCCUUCAUCCCCAUCCUCAUCAUCAUCCCCUUCACCCCAUCACCCCCAACAUUCCCAUUUAUCCUCUUCAUCCCCAUUCCCCCCUCACUUCCACCAUUCCCUCAUCCCCACCACCCCAUCACCCCCAUCAUCCCCAUCCUCCUCCUCAACCCCAUCACCCCCACCACCUCAAUCAUCCCCUUCAUCCCCAUCAUCCUCUCAUCCACUCUCCUCCUCAUCCCCAUCAUCCUCAUCAUCCUCAUCACCCCAUCACUCCCAUCAUCCCCAUCCUCCUCCUCAACCCCACCAUCCCCACCAUCCCAAUUAUCCUUGUCAUCCCCUUCAUCCCCAUCAUCUCCUUCACUCCAUCACUCCCAUCAUCCUCCCAUCCAUUCUCUUCCUCACCUCAUCAUCCCCAUCAUCCCAAUCAUCAUCCUCACCUCCACCAUCCUCAUCACCCUCAUCAUCCCCAUCACCCCCCAUCGCCCCAACCAUCCCUGUCACCCCCUUCGCGCCAUCACCCCCAUCCUCCUCCUCACCUCCAUCACCCCAUCAUCCUCAU